UACUACUACAAAUCCCCUCCUCCUCCUUCGCCGGUCUACUAUUACAAAUCCCCGCCUCCACCACCAUACUAUUACAAGUCCCCACCUCCACCUCCGCCUAAGUAUUACUACAAGUCGCCCCCACCACCGUCUCCAUACUAUUACAAAUCCCCGCCCCCUCCACCGUACUAUUACAAAUCCCCACCACCACCUCCCUACAAAUACGAAUCGCCGCCGCCUCCUCCUUACAAAUACGAGUCCCCACCUCCACCACCUUACUAUUACAAGUCCCCACCACCACCUCCAUACAAAUAUGAAUCCCCGCCACCUCCAGUCUACAAAUAUGAGUCUCCGCCACCCCCAGUUUACAAAUACAAGUCGCCACCACCACCAUACAAGUACGAGUCACCACCACCACCUCCAUACAAGUAUGAAUCCCCGCCACCUCCACCUUAUUACUACAAGUCCCCUCCACCACCACCAUACAAGUACGAGUCGCCACCACCUCCUCCGUACAAGUAUGAAUCUCCACCACCACCAGUUUACAAAUACAAGUCACCUCCGCCGCCACCUUAUUACUACAAAUCCCCACCGCCACCUCCAUACAAGUACGAGUCUCCACCUCCUCCUCCGUACAAGUAUGAAUCUCCACCACCACCACCUUAUUACUACAAAUCCCCCCCGCCACCUCCAUACAAGUACGAGUCACCGCCUCCUCCUCCGUACAAGUAUGAAUCUCCACCACCGCCAGUUUACAAAUACAAGUCACCCCCGCCACCACCUUAUUACUACAAAUCCCCGCCACCACCUCCAUACAAGUACGAGUCUCCACCUCCUCCUCCGUACAAGUAUGAAUCUCCACCACCACCUCCUUAUUACUACAAAUCCCCGCCGCCACCUCCCUACAAGUAUGAAUCCCCGCCACCACCUCCCUACAAAUACGAGUCACCUCCACCACCACCUUACUAUUACAAAUCUCCUCCACCGCCUCCAUACAAGUAUGAGUCGCCACCACCACCAGUCUACAAAUACGAGUCUCCGCCACCCCCAGUUUACAAAUACAAGUCGCCCCCUCCACCUUAUUACUACAAGUCUCCGCCACCCCCGCCAUACAAAUAUGAAUCCCCACCUCCACCUCCCUACAAGUAUGAAUCGCCUCCUCCUCCACCUUACUACUACAAGUCCCCUCCACCACCUCCCUACAAAUAUGAAUCCCCGCCACCACCUCCCUAUAAAUACGAGUCACCACCACCACCACCUUACUAUUACAAAUCUCCUCCACCGCCUCCAUACAAGUAUGAGUCGCCACCACCACCUCCCUACAAAUACGAGUCACCACCACCACCACCUUACAAGUAUGAAUCCCCACCUCCACCUCCGUACAAGUAUGAAUCACCUCCACCGCCUCCAUACAAGUAUGAAUCCCCUCCUCCACCUCCCUACAAAUACGAGUCACCACCCCCACCACCUUAUUACUACAAAUCGCCUCCGCCACCGGAGUAUCAAUCACCUCCUUACGUGUAUAAAUCUCCAC
rnacentral:lncRNA from 1 species